GAGAGGGGCAGGGGUCUUCAGUGUGGCUAAGGGCCACCGCCUGCAGCACCUGGGAUGGAGCUGCCAACUACCCCCAUCCUCAGAGCUGAAGUCUCCUAGCGUUUGGGCCUUGACUUUCUUAAUGCGAGAUACAGCUCAAAGCUUGCGGUCACAUUUCUGUCUUCGGGUGCUAAAACUGCAUUUCCUUCUUGAGUUCCAUGUUUCAGGGAGAGAAUCAUGAAGAAACAGAAUAAAGGACUUUGUUGCAAACUGCAGUCAUAAAGAAGGACAUGUGGGUGAGGCUGGGAGCCCGGGGAGCCUGGUGUCAGCUCCAAUCCGAGCAGCGGGGCCAGCAGGAAGACCCGGCCUCUGUGAGUGUGUGGGGUGCUUUGGAGAUGGGGGUGUGUUUAGACUUUGUCUCUUACAUGUUAUUCCCAUGGCAGGCUCUGCACCAGUCCCGGCACUGCCUGCAGCAUCUGAUUCUGCCAGUGCUGCCCACUUAGCUUUUGGAUACAUGGAAGUUCUGCAUCGUGGUUCCUGCUGAAGAAGGGAGUGUGUGGCUGUGUAUGUGUGUGUGCACAGGCAUGCACACACCUGUGUUUACAUGAACACAUAUGAGCAAGUGCAUGUGUAUACGCAUGAACACGUGUGUGCACUGAGGUACAUGCAUGUGUGCAUUCGCCUACACGUACGUGUGUGUGUGCACAUGGUACACAUGUGUGAUUGGCAAGCGUGUGCACACAUAUGUAUAUGGGCACAUGUAUAUGCAGGCAUGUAUGCACGUUUGGGCACAUAUAUGUACAGGCAUGUAUGCACAUGUGGGUGUGCAUGUAUAUUAUAUGAACACACGUGUGCAUCCAUUUACAGGCAUGUGUGCAUGCAUGUGUGUUUGGCGUGUGAUAUUUGUUACAUAUAUGUGGCCACACACGGAUACAGGUAUGUGUACACACGUGCACGCACACUUGCCCAGAUACAGACCUGCACGCCUUCCUGCCCUCCAUCCCGCCUUUGGGGUCUCCAUCACCGCUGCUUGUUGAUAGGUCUUGAAAAGGUCCAGGCUGGCGGGCAUGUCCUGCUGCCCAGGUGGGCAGGAGUGGGAACAGCAUAUCUGGGCCUUCUCCAGGUUUCCUCUGUCAGCCCGGAGGAGGGCAAUCACGACGCAAUUUCUUACAAUAAUGAUACCUCACAUUGCAUAAUCGUUCAUGUCCUUCAAAAUAUUGAAAAUCGUAGCACAGAAAGUUUGGAGGGUUCCACAGCAACUCAGCACCACGAAGUCGGCCACGGCCCCACACGUCGACGGCUCGGUUGGGUGACGUGGCCGGCCCCGGGGACGCCUCUUUCUGCUGACGUUCAUCCACAUCCACAUCCAGAGCUUCUCGGUGUCCAGGAGAUGCUGCCAGCUCCUGGCCCCAGGAUGGGUGUGAGGCUGUGGCCCCGGGGUGAAAAGCUACAUCUCCCACGGCAGAUAGCCACCAUCAUGGCUGUUAGAUGCCUGUGGACCGGACGAUGCAUCUAA
rnacentral:lncRNA from 1 species